UUUUUCUCAAUCCCAAAUCGUCCAAGUUUCCUCCCCAAUCUCCUCAUUGGUUCUCUUUAUUAUUCAUUAAUUUUAAGUUUUAACCUUGGUAAAAAAAGCAUUUCUCGUGUGUAAAUUAAAAAUAAAACGUGUAUUUGCCUUUACAUGCUAAAUCAUUUUUAUAAAAAAGAAGAUCGUCUCUUCUUUUGCCUUUCUUCUUUGGGAAAUAUUCUCUUCUUGAAUUCACAACUUAUUAUAACAAGUAGAAAUAUGCAUUCACUACUAAAGAAUUUCCAGACAACACCUUGUAAUUUGGCCAUCCCCGUGGCAUCGGUUGUACAAGUUCAGAAAGAAGGAUGGACGAGUAGAAUGAGGAAGGCAACUCGAUCGAUAAAAGAAAAAAGUAUAUGUAUAGCCUAAAGGUGGUGGGUUCAAUUGAAUUUAUGGCAGGAAGUGCACAAAUAUAUGUUUUGGGGGUCGUUAUUCAACUAGCAUCCGCCUUAUGUUUUUUCUAAAAAUAUACCCUCUUUUAAAAAUGAUUCAAAUAUACAUGGCUGAAGUUUAAAAUAUAUGUCUGAAGUGCAAAUGUCCUAAAUUUCAGACAUGUGUAUUUGAAUUUGUGUUACCAAAAUAUUCUCUUACUUUUUUGUAUGGGUGCGAUAUUAAUCCAUCCUUUAUUUGUAUGAAUCAAGUUGUGUCCCUCCAGUUGAAUAUCUACAAACUGAGCAAACAAUAUCUCCACAAUUUUGAGGAUAUAGGAGAAGUUAGAAAAACAUGUGACAUUAUCUCAUAGUUGUGUGGAUGAACAACAACAUUUUAAUGGUAGAACAUAUUCUUCUUUUUCAUAUGAUAUUCUCUACAGGUAACUUGAAUUUCUAUGCCCUCCAUAUCAUAAAAGAGGAUUAAAAACAAGCAAAUGUUAUUAAUUUGUAUACAUCCUGGCUCUUGUUCUCCUCCCUAUGUCUAAUAUAGCUCCAACUCUAGUCUGGCUUAGAAUUUUUUACAUAGUAGAUAAAUCUUAUUCUUCAUUAAAGCUAGCAUCAAUCCAUUUACCGUGCUAACUAAUUAUUUAUCGUGAAAAUUUUCCUAUGAAAAAAACUUGUUUCAUUAAAAUAAUAUAUAUCAAUGAAGCUACUCCAUGAUAAAUUUUCUGCGCUUACUGCAGCUUAUGGGUGACAGGCCAAUCUAUCCAAGAGUACUAUGUAUUAUGUGUUAUCUUCCAUAAUACGGGUACAUAGAAUCUGUAUAAUAGAAUAACAACUUCAACUCGAGUUCAAGUAUGAACAAGAACACAACGAAGUUGAACAAAUACCCUCAACACAAGAUCAAAAUGAUCUUUACAAGAGGUGCAUUUUAUAUUUCAGAAAUAUAGAUGAAACAGAAAUUGUUAAGGCCAAGUCGUCCAAAUUCACAGACUUUCCUUAAGGAAUAAUUCCCCUCAUUAUACCCGAGGUUAUGGAAUCUUCCUCCCAAGAUAAAAUGGCCUUCAAUCCGAC
rnacentral:lncRNA from 1 species